UGCCACAGCCAUAUCACCCUGCAGCCAAGACUGGUUGCCCACUGAAGCUAAGCAGGGUUGAGCCUGGUCAGUACCUGGAUGGGAGACCUCUUGGGAAAACUAGGUUGCUGUUGGAA
ensembl:rRNA 5S_rRNA 5S ribosomal RNA